rfam:Lactobacillus jensenii JV-V16 chromosome, whole genome shotgun sequence.
UAAGCGUUAAGAUGAUGGCUUUGCUUAGUCUAGCUUAGAUGUAGAUCAUCCCUCUCCAUGGAUGAUU